rnacentral:lncRNA from 10 species
AUUUAUAUCAGUGAGCAGAGGGAUAACUUUGAAUAGAACGGGAGGCAGGUUUUCCCUAAGCAGUCCUCAGCUUGAAUUUUCCUUUUAGCUUAGUGAUUUUGGGGGUCCAAGAUAUUUUCCUUUCACAUUUGCAAACAAAUGUGAAUACUUGGCAGUCUUAUGGGAGAUGCUGGUAAACCUUGUGGAGCUCGUGCAAACACAAAACUUCUAAUGAAGACAUGGCAAGCAGAGAAGAUAAGGAAAGACUCAACAGAUCCGAGGAGUCAAUGUCAUUAGAGGGCUGAUGUGGUGACUUCUCCCCCGAAGGACAUGGCCUAGCAACAGGUGGGAAGGUGAUGUGGGAGGAAAGCGGGGAGUUUAGGGAAAGGCAAGGGCAAAAGAGCGUUUGUGAAUGACACAAACUUUAGAAACUACAAAGGAGGGAGGUUCAGCCUCACAGCCUCUUGUGGCUGAGGGAAAGCAGUGGAGCUGAAGAUGCAGGAGACGCGUUCACAGGAGAUGGGCUCCAGGCUCAGCCUUGCCGCUUGCUUUACAGAAGGAGAGACUGGGAAGAUCUGUCCCCUUGUGCAGAGGCAGCAUGCAAGCACACGAGCCCAAACCCCAUGAGGAGCUCCUGCUGCAACUGGG